AACGAACGCUGGCGGCGUGGAUUAGGCAUGCAAGUCGAACGCGAAAGAGGGGGUAACUCCUCGAGUAGAGUGGCGAACGGGUGAGUAACGCGUGAAGAACCUGCCUUCAACAGGGGGAUAACACUCCCAACGGGGUGCUAAAACCGCAUGAGACCACGGGGCUGCAUGGCCCAGGGGUCAAAGGUGGCCUCUACUUGUAAGCUACCGGUUGAAGAUGGCUUCGCGUCCCAUUAGCUAGUUGGCGGNGUAACGGACCACCAAGGCGACGAUGGGUAGCUGGUCUGAGAGGAUGGUCAGCCACACUGGGACUGAGAUACGGCCCAGACUCCUACGGGAGGCAGCAGUCGAGAGGCUUUGGCAAUGGGGGAAACCCUGACCAAGCGACGCCGCGUGGGUGAUGAAGGCCUCGGG
rnacentral:rRNA from 1 species